rnacentral:rRNA from 1 species
UACGGAGGGUGCAAGCGUUAUCCGGAUUCACUGGGUUUAAAGGGUGCGUAGGUGGGUUGGUAAGUCAGUGGUGAAAUCCCCGAGCUUAACUUGGGAACUGCCAUUGAUACUAUCAGUCUUGAAUACUGUGGAGGUCAGCGGAAUAUGUCAUGUAGCGGUGAAAUGCUUAGAUAUGACAUAGAACACCAAUUGCGAAGGCAGCUCACUACACAAUCAUUGAUUCUGAGGCACGAAAGCGUGGGGAUCAAACAGG